rnacentral:rRNA from 1 species
AACGAACGCUGGCGGCAUGCCUAACACAUGCAAGUCGAACGAUGCCUUCGGGCAUAGUGGCGCACGGGUGCGUAACGCGUGGGAAUCUGCCCUUGGCUUCGGAAUAACAGUUAGAAAUGACUGCUAAUACCGGAUGAUGUCCCCCUGAGAGAUCUUGGGGACCAAAGAUUUAUCGGCCAGGGAUGAGCCCGCGUAGGAUGAGGUAGUUGGUGGGGUAAAGGCCUACCAAGCCGACGAUCCUUAGCUGGUUGGAGAGGAUGAUCAGCCACACUGGGACUGAGACACGGCCCAGACUCCUACGGGAGGCAGCAGUGGGGAAUAUUGGACAAUGGGGGGAACCCUGAUCCAGCAAUGCCGCGUGAGUGAUGAAGGCCUUAGGGUUGUAAAGCUCUUUUACCAGGGAUGAUAAUGACAGUACCUGGAGAAUAAGCUCCGGCUAACUCCGUGCCAGCCGCCGCCGUAAAAC